GACGAACGCUGGCGGUGUGCCUAACACAUGCAAGUCGAACGGUAAGGCCCUUUCGGGGGUACACGAGUGGCGAACGGGUGAGUAACACGUGAGUAACCUGCCCUCAUCUCUGGGAUAACAGUCGGAAACGGUUGCUAAUACUGGAUAUGAGCUUGCAAGGCAUCUUGUGGGUUGGAAAGAUUUUUUUGGUUGGGGAUGGACUCGCGGCCUAUCAGCUUGUUGGUGAGGUAGUGGCUCACCAAGGCUUCGACGGGUAGCCGGCCUGAGAGGGCGACCGGCCACAUUGGGACUGAGAUACGGCCCAAACUCCUACGGGAGGCAGCAGUGGGGAAUAUUGCACAAUGGACGGAAGUCUGAUGCAGCAACGCCGCGUGCGGGAUGACGGCCUUCGGGUUGUAAACCGCUUUCAAUUGUGACGAAGCUUUUUGUGACGGUAGCAGGAGAAGAAGCACCGGCUAACUACGUG
rnacentral:rRNA from 1 species